AGCAAUACGUCAGUGGCAGACGGGUGAGUAACACGUGGGAACGUACCUUUUGGUUCGGAACAACUGAGGGAAACUUCAGCUAAUACCGGAUAAGCCCUUACGGGGAAAGAUUUAUUGCCGAAAGAUCGGCCCGCGUCUGAUUAGCUAGUUGGUAGGGUAAUGGCCUACCAAGGCGACGAUCAGUAGCUGGUCUGAGAGGAUGAUCAGCCACACUGGGACUGAGACACGGCCCAGACUCCUACGGGAGGCAGCAGUGGGGAAUAUUGGACAAUGGGCGCAAGCCUGAUCCAGCCAUGCCGCGUGAGUGAUGAAGGCCCUAGGGUUGUAAAGCUCUUUUAACGGGGAAGAUAAUGACGGUACCCGUAGAAUAAGCCCCGGCUAACUUCGUGCCAGCAGCCGCGGUAAUACGAAGGGGGCUAGCGUUGCUCGGAAUCACUGGGCGUAAAGCGCACGUAGGCGGACUCUUAAGUCGGUGGUGAAAUCCUGGAGCUCAACUCCAGAACUGCCUUCGAUACUGGGAGUCUCGAGUUCGGGAGAGGUGAGUGGAACUGCGAGUGUAGAGGUGAAAUUCGUAGAUAUUCGCAAGAACACCAGUGGCGAAGGCGGCUCACUGGCCCGAUACUGACGCUGAGGUGCGAAAGCGUGGGGAGCAAACAGG
rnacentral:rRNA from 1 species